rnacentral:lncRNA from 1 species
AAGGACGACCUCAAAUUCAAUUGCUUAAAAAGAUUACAGACAGUUAAGAUCUAUUCCAAAGCUUUUUCAGAUUCCAGAUGGCAUAAAUAUUAAAUGGAUCCCAUCGAGAAUAAAAUAUCAGAAUAGCUGCAAACUAAUAAGGGUGUUUAAUAAUUCUAAAUGCAAUCACCGAGAGCAGAGAGGAGCUGGUAAAUAAAUCGAUCUUUCCCUUUAAAAUUACACUGUUCUUCUUGCUUUGUCGUGGUGUAAAAUAUCACACCGAAUUUUAUGCGUAAAAUUCUCAAAGAACAGAAAGCUUAAUAUUAGUUUGGAAGCCACAGCUGCAACUCUUUGCACGGCAAAUCGUGCUCGAAAUUUUUCCGACCGUGUGACAAAGAUAAACCGAAGGGGAACGGGAUCUCAAAAGCGUGCGAACAAAGAUCGCUAAUGCCUCUCAAUCAGUCAGCCCACGUGCAAAUGUCUGGGAGAAACCAGGUGAAAAAGUCCUCUCCGACCUCCGAAUAAGCGAACCCGAGUGGGAAGUUUGGGGUGAAAUCAGGCGGAAAGCAGAACUUCAGCCGGCGCUGCUCCUGGCGCGGGCAGCAGGGCUGCGCCUGCCCGAGGAUCUCUCGAAAAGGGAUAAAAUCCCAUUUCCAUCCAGCAGCGGCUCCUUUUCUUCGAGCGGUGCCUGCGCGCUGGGCGCUCUGCUGCAGGAUCCUUCCUUGAAUGAGAUAUAAAGAAAAAAAAAAAGCAAAAAACGGCACAAACUACCGGGCCAGCCCUCGGGUAGUCGCUCCUCCGCCUCCGUAGCUCCUCUCCAGCCUGGAUCCCGUCUGGGCUUCUCGCUUCGAGCUGCUCCGCUCCGACCCCCCCGCACCGCCGGGACCCGACGGCGGCCGCGCACCGCCGCUCUCGGCGUUCACCUUGGCCUUGACCCCGGCGGGAGCCCGGCCCGGCCCGGAGCGCUGCGGGGAGCUGCGGCAAACGCGGAGCCGAGAGCAGAGCCGGGAGCCGAGCAAAUGAAAAAAAAGGAAAAAUCACCACGUUCACCAAGACUGCAGGACUUUCACAGCAGCAAACGAGAAGAACCGAGACCUCACUCGCACCUUCGCGCUGUUUUUUACCCAUUUUGCCGUGGGACGCGGUGGGGCAGGAUCCCGCAGAGACCCCCACGCGGCCCCCACGGAUCUCCUGAGCUGAAAGGAGUGGGGUCUGAGGAGGGGCGGGGGGGAAAGGACUCCCCGUGUUUUUCCGUAGGAGUUGGAGUUGCCGAGCCAGCUCUGCCCCUUUCCCCACCCUGGCCGCAGCCCACCCAGCCACAGAUGCAUCCACAGGUGGGGAUGAAGCUUCAACCCCCCCCCCCCCCCCCACCCCCCCACCUCCCCCCCCCCCCCCCCCCCCCCCCCGCUGGCUGCUUUGCGGAGCCGCUGCUUUCCCGACAUGGCCUUUGUCUCCCCCCGCUGCCGUCAGUUUGGGGCUGGGGGCCUCAGUGCUUUGGUGGCCCGAAGAAGUGGCAGAAGGAGCGGCGGUGCUGACCUUUGGUAAAGAGAAAAGAGAAAAUCUCCAUUUCUUGCGGAUUUCUGAAGCUGAUCUCUUUGCAAGAAGGAAACAACGCAGAAGCAGCACGUGAGCUCCUCUGCCCUUUGGGUGACGGUGGUGAAGGUUUCCCCCAGACAAAGAUUUCUGGGGGAAAACGGAGAGAAAAAGGAGGGAGAAAGGCAGCUGUGUGUUUGCACCACGCGUGCAAUGCGAUGAAAAAUGCACAUAUCCCAAUCAUUUCUGAACACUUACAUACACGUGGGCCUCAGUGUAUUAACUCCAAACUUCCCCACACUGAAGUCACCCUCCACCUCCAUCUGUCCAUACCCUUCUGUAUACUCACUCCUCCUGCACCCAAAGUCUCUCUCUCUCAUUUCCAAACUUUCCCUUUGAGCCGCUGACCCGGAGCCCCAUCAGCACUGGGUGAGGAGGCAAAGCUGAGUGCAAAGAGUGAUUUUUUUUUCCCCCACCUUUUGCAGUUAUUUUUUUCUCUUUUCACUCCUUGCUUGCUAGGGCCAUGCCUUGGCCCACCCUGCACCCUGUGUAUAGGUUAUAUAAGCUUAGGUAUAAAGCUGUACCUAAUAUGGACUAAUAUGGA